CGAGCUGGCAGGCUACAUACAACGAAAACACUUUAUUGCUAUGAACUUGUCAUUUUCCAAAACGCUUGUCUUCUUGUUCGGCUAGGUCGAAACGUCAGUCUUACGGAACACUACAGCACGCUACCAUUGUGACUAAUGAAAUUUACAGCAGUGGUGGCAGUGGUGGGAUACCACAACCCCAUCUUGCAGCUGGACUGAAAACGGAUGACCCCUUACUUUAUAGCAAUGGAUAGAACUGGAGAUUGACCUUGGCCGAGGAAUUUUAAUGCAAAACGAGAAGUGCCAAUGGCUUCCAGAUGAAACCGAGGGAUCCCUGGUUCUAAGAGAGAAAGAGCAAAGGCACCAUGGCGCAUCGAAAACCUGCACAACUAGAGCAUUCCUGGUUACCCUUGCUGCUCUUUGAUCAAAGAGGAAGGGCAUCAUCCUCAGAGAAGCUUCAUGCACUGCAGCAUGCUUUCCACCAAAGGUGCGGGUGGGAAACGA
rnacentral:lncRNA from 1 species